ACGGAGGGUGCAAGCGUUAUUCGGAAUUACUGGGCGUAAAGGGCGUGCAGGCGGGAGAGCAAGUCUGAUGUGAAAGCCCGGGGCUUAACCCCGGAAGGGCAUUGGAAACUGCUUUUCUUGAGUUCUGGAGAGGAAGGGAGAAUUCCCGGUGUAGAGGUGAAAGUCGUAGAGAUCCGGAGGAACACCAGUGGCGAGAGCGGCCUCCUGGAACACUUCUGACGCUAAGACGCGAAAGCUAGGGUAUCAAACGG
rnacentral:rRNA from 1 species